rnacentral:rRNA from 1 species
AUUGAACGCUGGCGGCAGGCCUAACACAUGCAAGUCGAACGGUAACAGGGAUCAGCUUGCUGAUUCGCUGACGAGUGGCGGACGGGUGAGUAAUGUCUGGGAAACUGCCUGAUGGAGGGGGAUAACUACUGGAAACGGUAGCUAAUACCGCAUAAUGUCGCAAGACCAAAGAGGGGGACCUUCGGGCCUCUUGCCAUCGGAUGUGCCCAGAUGGGAUUAGCUAGUAGGUGGGGUAACGGCUCACCUAGGCGACGAUCCCUAGCUGGUCUGAGAGGAUGACCGGCCACACUGGAACUGAGACACGGUCCAGACUCCUACGGGAGGCAGCAGUGGGGAAUAUUGCACAAUGGGCGCAAGCCUGAUGCAGCCAUGCCGCGUGUAUGAAGAAGGCCUUCGGGUUGUAAAGUACUUUCAGCGGGGAGGAAGGGAGUAAAGUUAAUACCUUUGCUCAUUGACGUUACCCGCAGAAGAAGCACCGGCUAACUCCGUG